UACGUAGGUGGCAAGCGUUGUCCGGAUUUACUGGGCGUAAAGAGCGCGCAGGCGGUCGGCCAAGUCGAGUGUGAAAGCCCCCGGCUCAACUGGGGAGGGUCAUUCGAUACUGGUCGACUCGAAGGCAGGAGAGGGAAGCGGGAAUUCCCGGUGUAGUGGUGAAAUGCGUAGAUAUCGGGAGGAACACCAGUGGCGAAGGCGGCUUCCUGGCCUGUUCUUGACGCUGAGGCGG
rnacentral:rRNA from 1 species